AUGAGUACUUGUUUAUCACUGAGCAAUUUGUUAAUAUGUGUUUCGAGCCAAAUAAAUGACAGGGAGCGAGAGAGAGAGAGAGAGCGUUACGUUAGAACACGUGUAAUAUGGCAACCUCCCGAAAGGGAAGGGGGGGAGGGGUCAAUCGUUGGGAUGCGCAUGCGCAGGCAGAUUGCGCGACCGCCAGGCAUUGAACUUUCUAAGGGAAAAAACACUUUCUCACGGACGGUGACAGCGAAACGGAUAACAGUCUUCAGUACCUGCUGGUCUUUGAAGCUCUGGAUUCUGGGACUGUUGGAAAAGAGGCGGCGGCGAGAGGGGAGACCUCGGCUCAUCCAGCUGGAGAGCCUGACAAGGAGGAGUCGAACAUUAACUCUGCUCUUCCAGGGCACCCUGCAGACUCGGCUGCUGGCAACAGCGAGGGAGUGCGGCCGCCGCUGGGAUGACGUGAACGCCAAACAGGAGUCCAUCACAGGUCGACUGCAGCUCCUUGUCUCAGAGUGGGAUUUGAAGCACAAAGGGAGGAGCUUGUCGUUUGGUUGGCUGAUAUGGAUGUCCGCCUGAGUGAGGUUAACCAGCUGACAAAACUGAAACAACUGCAGGUGUGGGGUUGUUUUGAUAUAACAUAUAUUUGAUAUGAUACAUACGUCAGAGACAUUAUCCUAAACUGGACUAACAAAGGACCAUGAGUCCAACAUGAAACUUGCCUUACAUAAGGUUAGGCUGAAGUUCAUUGAUAAUUUUAAUCAAAAACUUGUUGAAAUAUUUUUACUGAACAUGCAAACAUCUGCUGAUGAAAAUGUCUUGAUUUAUUGGUCUGUUAUGAAGCAAUUGCUAUUUCUAAUGUGUUUUUAUCACUUUCUGAUGUUUUAUUAAUUAAACAAUACAUGUAUUCAUUGUUGUGUUAUCUAUAGAUAUAGUAUUCAUAUAUAUAUUUAUUUAUAGUAUAGUAAAAAUGUUUAAUUAUUACUGUUUAAAUGACUAAUAUGUGACAUGUAUUAGUAGUGAUGUUGUGCUGAGGGUUAAAAUGCCUUUUUGUCUUUUGGUAUAUUACGAAACAAUAAUAAUAAUAAUAAUAAUGCAUUGGAUUUAUAUAGCGCUUUUCAAGGCACCCAAAGCGCUUUACAAUGACAUUAUUCAUUCACGCUCACAUUCACACACUGGUGGAGGCAAGCUACAGUUGUAGCCACAGCUGCCCUGGGGCAGACUGACAGAAGCGAGGCUGCCAUAUCGCGCCAUCGGCCCCUCUGGCCAACACCAGUAGGGUAAAGUGUCUUGCCCAAGGACACAACGACCAGGACAGAGAGGCCGGGGAUCGAACCGGCGACCUUCCGGUUACAGGUGCCCUUCCCAACCCCCUGAGCCACGGUCGCAAUAAACCAUUAAUAUAUGUCUAUGUCUAUGCUGUGCUCGUGUUUAUUUUACCCUACUCAAAUUCAAUUUAUGAUACAUUUUAUUUUGAAAAAUUUAAAAUGGUUCUUUAAAGAACCAUUUGAAGGAGCUUUUUGAAAAUGGUUCUUUAAAGAACCAUUUUCAAAAAGGUUCUUUGAAAAACCAUUAAAGGUGCCCCAAAGAACCAUCAAGAAAUGGUUCUUUGGGGCACCUUUAAUGGUUCUUCAAUGAACCAUUGUUUGAAAGGUUCUUUGUGGCACCAAAAAAGGUUCUUCUAUGGCAUCAGUCUAAAGAACCACUUUUGGUUCCAGUUGGCACCUUUAUUUUUCUGAGUGUAUGUGCGAUGUUUGGAGACAUGUGCUGCACUUUUAUCCCCAAUAACACUGUUCCAGAUGGCUCAGUAACUCGAGCCCUGGAGGGCCUUAAAACUCUGUCUAAAACCAUGCAUGAGCACUCAGGAAUUGACAACCCGCUGGAGAACUGGAUGGCAUCUGUGUUUGGACAAUGGAAAGGUUUGGCCAUGUCUGCAAUGUUUUCAAUUGUCACAUUUUUAGGGAUACUGGUCACCUGUGGUUGUUGUCUCAUUCCUUGUGCCAGAGGACUGUUGGUAAAGGUAAUAACGAGGGCAAUGGACCCCGGAGCGGUAGUUCCGGUGUUUCAGUGUCCAUUGAUAAACUCAGCAGCAACUGAGGGGGCUGAGGAGUGACACAACACGAGGUGUGGUGACAGUUCUUCAAAAAAUGUCAAAAGGGGGAAUGUGGAGAUACAGAAAUAUUUUACUGCUACAAUAUAACUUGCAUUAUUAACAUUGCAUUAAUAAUAUUCCUUAUAGCAUUGAUAUUGCAUUAAAGAUGUUUAUGAAACUUACUGUUAUUAACCUUUUACUUACAGGUGCAGCCAUAGUCAGUUUAUACACAUUGCAUGAUUGUGCUCAUUAACAGAGUUGAUGCUCAGUCUCAGUUUAUUGGAGGUUUUAAGCUUCGCUGAGCGUUAUGUCUCAGUUGAUAUAUUGUGCGUGACUUAGAGCAUAGAAGGCCGCAUGCACGCUUACAAACACAUAGAAUUCAGAAACCUGCCAGGCCAAAGGCCUGAAAUUCAUUUAGCUUCUCACUGCAUUUUAGUCUACUUGGUAACAGAUGACAGGAGAUUAGUUAAGAAGAGCAUCUGCCUCAGGGACCAUGUAGGCUUGAAAUUUGUUACCUUGUAUGGAAGGUGUUGUAGAAAAAGGAACUUUUAUGUCUGUUUUUAGCCGUUUAAGAUGUACUAUUUACUGUAAUCGAUGUAUUUGAUCUGUAAUUGACGCACGAGGGUGCAUAAUCCCUGAUGUUAUAAAAUCAUCUUCAAGUGUAUUCUUAGCAGGAGACGUUUUGCUGGUGAGAUGUUGUAUACUUCUCCUCCUGCGUGGCUUUAAUAAAAUUGUCUGAUUGCAAUCUCCUGGGCCUCUGUUGGUGUGUUCUGUUGCUCAACAUUUUCGAAAUCGGGACAUGGGGAUCUGCCAGGCCCGGGGGCCAUCGCCAGCCCCCUUUAAGGCCUUCCCCAAACCGCACCUCAAUUCAUGUCAAAGCAUUCACUUCUACCUACUAAAUCGCUGUCAAACCUAAAAUGAGGACGUGGGCCCAGCUACUGAAUUCAGAUUUGUGAUGAUUGUGUUCUUUUUGUGAUUACAGUAGCUGCCCUCAGAUUCAGACCUCAGCACCACCCAGUGAAAGCAGACAAAUCAUCCAUCAUGUUAACUGCAAAAUUAACGGAUGAAAACAGUAUAAAGGUUAAAGUACCACAUGUGCUGUCAGUGAAAGCUGCAGCUGUUUUACUGAUAAAGAGUCAAAGAUUGAUAAAGACAAAGACUCAAAAGGAUUCAUCACUGCUGUUACUGUGUAUAUCAGCAUUAACAGGACCUCAGUUUGGUGUUUCAGAGAACUGCUGAUCUCAGACCUGCACAGCUUGUGUUUUAGACACUGAAUUUACUCAGCUGCAUGAAGAGCACAUGAGAUUUUCUCUGACACAAUUAAAUAAAACCUGAUGAAGGUCAAAGGUCAGGUUUGAACUACAAACUUGUGAUCUGGAAUUCUUUCACUGUUUUUGCCAAUAGUGUGUUAUUUACCAUAAAGUAAUUCCGAGUCAUUCAUACCAGAGUAACCACAGAGGAUCAUAUAUUUAAAUAUAUAACUGUCUACAGGACUGAAUAGAAUAUCUUUAUGUAAAAGCCCGGAGCCUGCUGCAGUGCUCAAUAUGUACAGUGAAUAAGAAAUUACAAGGAACGCUUACAACAACUAUUUACAUAAGUGCUUUUAUCUCAAUCAACAUAUCUUAAUUACAAAUGGCUCACACGUUACAAAAAAGACCACAGCUCAGGAUUUUCACACAAAUGCUCAGAAGUACAAACAGGUUGCUCUUUGUUGGAUGUAGAGGAGACAAGGAGAGGUAGGUGGCUGUCCAUUCAAUCGUCCAAUCUGGACAUCAGGAGCCUGUUUGAAUCAGACAAUUACAAACACACUCAGAUGUUCUGAGAUGUGCACACUCAGGAACUUAGUGCUGCUUUACCCUCUCCACAGCAGCACUACUGAUGGUUAGUCGUGUGUGCAGGGUGUGAGUUCUCCUGAAGUCUAUGAUGACCUCCUUACUCUUCUCAACAUUCAGGGACAGGUUGUUGUUGCUGCACCACUUGGCAAGAUGUUUUGUAAUCUCCUCUCUGGGUGGUGAAAACAUAGUCCAAAAUGUUGUUUCCCCGUGUGGGAAAUGUAUGUGUGUGUGCAGUUUGGGAAGCACAGUCUUUGGGUCUGCAUGAUUGAAAACCCCCGCUAGCACGAGAGAAGCAUCUAGGUGGGCCAUCUGCUGCUCACUGACAUGCUGAUACAGUUCAUUCAGUGCCUCACUCCUUUUGCUGUUAUUGGAGCAGGGAAGGA
rnacentral:lncRNA from 1 species